GAAAUGUGAAAUUACAGAAUUUUAACUUCGGUACCAGGUGCCUGAAACUGGAAACUGAGCUUCAUCUUUAGUGCUCAGUAAUGUAUCCCUAUACUCAUGGAGAAAAAAAAACUUCAGUCCUAUGAAAAAAUGUCUUUCAAAGCAUUCAGGUGCAAAGAGUGAGUAAUGUGGUGAUCAGAAGGAAGGCUGACUGUCUGAAAAGAAGCUGGACCCAGUAAAACCGGUUGAGAAGGGACACAAUUGCUGUCUAUAAAUUUAUGAUGAGGUGACUACUUCAUCAACUUGGCUUUUCACUGGCAUAGAAGAACCAGAAAAUGAACCUGGCACUAGAAGCCUGUGUUUCUUCUGCAGCUGGGAAAGCGGUGGGCCUCUCCAGAGCAAGAUUCACCAAAGCAUAUACAAGACUCUCGAUGCUGGAUGUGAAGGCAGAGAAACAAUUUACUGUUUUAAAACAAAGAGCCUGUUCCUCAGGAGACAUAGACUGGUAAAAUUCAUGUGAAGGCACACCCCAGUUUCCUUGACUGCAAUGCAAUCCAAAUGCAGGCUUCAAGACCCAAUGGUCAGAGUAUUGGGUCAAGCUGAGAACUUGUGGGUUGUUGUCCUGGGCUCAGCUGCUCAUCUUGCCUCAACCUCUUCAGCAAAAAAUGUUUCAGAUUGCUUUUCUGCUCCUGCUUCUGAAGAGAAGUGAUGAGGAGCUGUCCUAUGAAAUGAUAGGGAAGCACUUGCAGAGGAGCACAGAGAUUAGGGAUACCCCUUGGAGGAAGGCAUUCAUGCUCCAUGCCAACCUGUGGGCUCCCAUCCACCUCCCACUGCCCACCGCAGCUCCUCUUUCCUGCCACGGGACACCACCAACCCUGGCUGUCCUUGGCCCCAGCACUUCCCAAACUCAGCAGGACUCAGUUCACUGGCCUGAAACAGUGGAAUAAAUCUCACAGUUUUUCCCUCAAGAGGUAUAAUCCUUCAGUUUUCAUGACGGCAGUUUUCCUGUUUAUUUCAACAGAAGUGGUAUCUCAAGAUGAAUGGCAGGAUAAUACCCAUUUGAAAUAUAAGUGGACAGCAGCAUCAGAUCAAAUGGAUGGUGAAAAGAGACUGAAUGGAAAAUGAUGACAGGGCAAAAAUGUCCCUUCCUACCAACAUCUUCAAUGUUUUCAUUUCCAAGCAUUUGUUAAGCAAGGAAGAGGAUCUCUCUCUAUUUAAUGUAAUUUAGUGAUAAUUCUUUGGAAAAGAGAAAAUAUCCUUUCACAGCUGUAUCAACAAUAUCUUCUCUCUUAAAAGAAAACAGCAGCUGACUUGACAUGUCAAGCAUCACGUAUUUGGCCACGGAAGGCAAGCAUGAGCCAGACUGGUCAAUAGCACUGACUUGGAACAAUGCCACUGAAAAGUUGGUCUGUAAACUGAUGCUACCUUAUUUCUUGGAUUGUAGAAGGGCUUGCUGAGAUUUAGCAGCAAUGCAGAACUACCACAUUCCCGGUAGAUAUUUCUUUUCUUGUUACAUGAGACCCAUGCAUGAAGUGAAAAAGAACAAAUGAACAUCAGGUUUACAUCACCACUGAUAUGUGAAUGAUUGAUCACCCAUUAAAUCACAUACAGAGCUGGUAACAGCACACGGGGUAGCGUUAAAGUAAAAUGUUUGAUAUUCUUUACUCUAAUUAAACAUGGAAAUAAUACGAUGCAGUCUGUAUUGUAAAUGUUAUUGCAGAUUAUAGACCUAAAGGAGAGGUGUUAUGCCACCUUUAUAGCCUCCAGUUCCUGGAGACUGUGACUUAGAGCUGCCUCAGGGCUGCCCUAAAUUACACCAGUUGGUAAUGACUCCCAGAGGGCCGCUAUGCAUCCAGUGGUUGCUGGAGUGUAAAGUACUUUGGCUAUGCCAACAGCCCAUCAUUUCACAAUGGAGGCUGAGAGCAGCUGGCAUAGUGCUUGGAGAAAAUCCCCAAGUAGUGGUUUAAGACAUUUUUCGAACUCUUUUUUUUUUGUCAUGAGAGUGAUAUAAAAUAAAGGCCAGAUUUCACAAACACACAGGGGCUUUUCCUUUAUUAUUUAAGCAUCUGUAGUCGUGAGUUGAUAAACUGAGAGAUGAGGGUUUCUAUAGGAUUUCAGAGCAGGUAUCAACCCAAUACUGCUUCAGCUUGGCAGCAUUCCAGCUCUUUGCCCUGGCCCCUAUUCCCUGCGUGGUGCAGUGGAGCACCACUGGCUGUCAAAGGCAUACUCCUGGUUUACAUCUCUGUUAGCAAAAGGAGAACUGGAUUCCCCCUUGUAAGUGCCAGAUUUUCAAUUCAGGAUCAUAUUCCAUUCUUCGAUGGAGCUGCCAAAGAUAAAACUUGACUUUCCACAUGUAAAAUGUUUUUGUAAAUGUAUGUGUGACUCAUUCAAUAGCUCAGCCCAUCCUCACUCAGUGAGUGAUGAUUUUUCUGUCCAGUGUGUGGGUGGGCUGACCAUUCUUACGCAAAUCUCAAAUAUAAAAAGUUUUCUUGGACAUUAGGGAAUAAUAUUGGCAGUUUGGGGAUUUUGUUUUGAUGUGAUGCUCACUUAAAGCAUCCUGAAGAUAAUAGCUGACUGCUAGCAGCAGAAACUCACAACUCACAAACUGAGAUGAUGCAGCCCAAAAUUCAGAUGGCUGUGUUUUCAAAUCUCUGAGAUAACAAGCCACUGCUGUUGAUCUUACUAUAAGUUCUAUGAAACAUAAUCAAAAAUAAAGUAAGGGACAGAGAUAUCACAGGUAGGAAAUCCUUUGGGCAGUCACAGGUAGGUGUUGUUCUCAGAUAAAUUUACUAGAGAAAAGUAAGUAUCUUUUCUGUUCUAAAGAGAGUUAUUUUAAAGAGUCACUGAGCUCCAAUAUCACUGAGGAGGAGAAUGAUUUCACGGAGAAAUUUUUCUGGAUGUGAAUUCAUAAAGGACUCACUCUCACAUUGUGUGGAGAAAGAUGAGUGUUAAGACAGAGGGCUGAGCUGUAACCUUCCUAAUGGGAAGAAAAAACUAGAAUUCCCUUCUCUUUCGCAGAGUUCUCUGAGCUAGUCCUGGCUAGCAGACCUGUGUAGGGCAGCAAAAAGACAAAAGAAGGACUGAUUAAAGAAGCUAACAUGGCAUCUUGUCUGCUCCCUGACUGUGCAUCCUUCUGUACACGUGGAAGAGAGAUGGUCUGGCAUUUCUGUCUCUCCCUGCAAGGAUCAAAUGGUGGUGAGAAAACUUCCUUGGUGCUUUGUACCUAUCUGCUGACAGAUGGACACACAAAGAGUUCCCAAAAAAAGAAAGCCCUGGAAGCUGGGGAAGGUCAGAGCUUGCCUGCACCGUUAAGACAUGGGGACAAAUUGGCAUCCAUACAACAGAUCUGCAUUGCCUCCCUUGAGCAUUUUUCCAAGACUGAGCAAACGCAGAAGAUGAUAUUGUACUUCUGGGUCACGAUAAGCUAUAAAGAUGUGUAAGCCUGUGUGUAGGGGUAAUAUGUGUACACAUCACAGAAGGAAUGAGUAAAUCAUUGUAAGGAAAGCCAGAUUCAUUUCUACAUCAUCUUGUACAUUUUUAAAAAUGUUUAGCAUUGCAUUUUAUCCUCAAAUACUGGAGUGAUCAGGCAGGUCCCGGAUGUGCUUUUCUAUACUUUCCCAUCUAAGGUAACUAAGAGUUUUCUUAUAUUCUACCAUUCUUGUCUUUAACUCUCAGCUCUCAUUAUAUCCUUCCCUUUCAGUCAAUCAAUAGCUUUGAGAAUGGUCCCGCUAAUGCUCUUCUUUUAUGUUACAUCCUUUUCCCUACCAGCUACCAUCUUCUCCCUCUUGGCUGCAAAACCUUCUGUUUAUAUUUGAACCUUGCUUCACCAGCUGCCUUUCUUCUGCUCUUGGGUGCACUAUGCAGGUGUUACCCUAUGUGCACAUCCUUUGCACACUUAUGUUCAGAGUUAUUUCCUCUUCUAUGCAAUACUCUUUAGUCAUGAAACGUGGCUCCUCUUGUACCCACUGUUUUGUCUCUUCUGAUAUCUAGUUUCUGCUAGGUGCCACUGUCCAAGUGCCUGUGUUGAUAUAGACAUAUUUUCAGAGUAUAAUGAAUGAGCUAUUGCAGAUUGAACAGUGAGUAUUCAGGAAUAUAUAUCACACACUUUUAUUCUCUGCUAUUUAAAAGGAGAUUAUUGGCUCCAAAGGGUUAGUAGUAUUCAAUACAUAUUUAAUGUAUACUUAAUAGCCAUAUAUUGGUCUCUGAAGUUCAUAAAGUUUUUGAACUUCAAUAACUGAUUUAAAGUCUGGGGUAGGAAGUCUCCAGAUAAUUACAAGACACUUGUUAGUAAGUUUGAGUCCAUGAACUGAAUUUUCUAGCGCUGGAACCAUAAGAUGCACCACACAUAAUUCGCUAAACAGAUUUUGUAGAAUGACUGUGGCCAUUUCAAGCCUGCACACCUAAAUUCUCUUCUCAUUCUUGCACCACAAGCUCUGGAAAACACUUGCACCAUUCAGUACAGAUGCCCAGUGGUGUAUGGCUUCUGGAAGACUUUCACAGUCAUAAUUACCUGCCCUGGAUGUCAAACAUACCUAGCCAAGCAGCUGCUCUGCUGUAUGUCCAAACCACCCACACCAAGUCCAAGUCCAAGUCUGCAGCACAAAGCAGUGCUCAAACAAAGGAAGGAGAGCUGCUAGCAAGGAUGGCACUGAGUACAGCAGACACCGUACUGGAUAAAUCAUCAGCAGAUGAAGAUGGUAAAUUAGUUCAAUUGCAGAUGAGAACUCAGAGCCCACUGGAAGUUGAUUUGUUUGUCAGCAUCCAGGAUCUUACAGCAUGAAGCACAUCUGUCCCAGCCGUGCUCUGUCACGGGGAAAGGAGCACAAGGAUGCCUACGUGUCAGUUUGCUAGCCUGAAAAAUGCCCUUUCCUUCUGAAUGGCUCCCACUUUGCUUGCCUCAAUCUUCUACAAUUACUUCAAAUUUCAAACAUUUACAGACAAAUUGGCAAUACGCAAAGCUGUGACAUUCCAAAGACAAUGCUCACUGACAGCGAGAGGCUCACAUCUCAUAUGCUUCAAAACUCAGGGAGAAAAGGAAUGGGAGAAAAGAGGCUGCCAACCCAGGAUGAAGAAAAAUGGCAGCUUUAUCUUUCUACUUACUUGUCAACCGUAUUCCCCCCUGAUUGUGGAAGAUGGGAGACCUCCUUUUUUGAAUUAUUGCAUUAAGUCUGACAGAAGUACGAGAAGCCCAGCACUGUGCUGUAGUGGGAAUGUGCUGCUUAUUGCAGACUGUCCAGGUAUGCUUCAAGAAAAGAACUGCUGUGGGUAGAAAUGGAAAAAUAAGGGGCAGCUGGAAAGGAGGGUCUUUGCACCUUAGCUGCACUUUUAGAAAUUGAAAAGGUAACUGUAGAAACACCAAGUGCUGGUAAUCUUUGACACUCUCAUUAUUAGGAGGUUCUUAAAUUUUAUUCAUGUGGCUCAUAUUCAACCUGACAAGUCAUGUAGCGAUUAAAAAUUGGAAUGCUGCAACAACAGUGUUAGAAUUAGGAUCAGUGACUGGUUUAACUCUCCCUGACAAGGAAAGCCUGGCAAAUGACUCGGUUCCAGCCAGUAGGGAAUCUUCAGGCUCACUGCGCACUACCAAUGUAUCCUGACAAGCCUCGUCAAGACAGCCAACGUGGGCUUAGCAGAUGCCCUCGGAAAGUUUCCUCUUCUUACCUUUCUUGCUCCUGUGUAGUUUGUCCCUGGACUGCGGAGUAAGUGUUAGGAUAGGCUUAAUGGAAGAUAGUUGCAUUUUUUGAGACCUUCCAUAAAGCCUGGAGGUGAGCAACUGAGGCUCAGGAUGCGCUUUUCCCUCCUCAAUUUCCAGUAAAAGAGUUCUUGCAGUGAUUCAAAAUCAAAGGUGGGAUAUUUAACAUUAUGAGAAGCUGCUAGAAGGAAUUACUGUGGUGCAAUUACAUGACCACCAAGGACUGAAAUUUCCAUUAAAGCAUGUGGGCUCUACCAUGGGUCUUACAGCACUCAGACAGCCUCAGAUAUGUUCAGAUAAUGAUUUAGGCUCCCCUGGUAUCUCUCUCUCUCUUUCUAAUAACAUGCUGCCCUUUCUGUGGUACAGUUGCAGGACAGAUGUCUUUGACUGAUGUGUUUGAAACAUGGGUGGUUUAGUAUCUGUGUUCUAAUAAUGACUGAUUUUUGGUAUCCUGGGAGAACAUCUCUCUUGGCACUUAAGAUAUAAAAAACAAGUGACAUUUUGAAAUAAACAAGGUCUACAGGUGAUAGAAUUAGCACUCAAUCUGCCAUCCUACAUGCAAGGCAGAGCCUCAGCCACCAGACAUAUUAAAAAUGUCUUCUGAGGUAAGAUGGCUAAAAGUUUGAGUUCAUUAUGAAGAAACUUACACACAAACCUUACUCUCCCUUCUUCAAAAGUCAUCACGAUUUCCAUGUGUGUAUAGCAAGUGGCAUUUCCCUGGGCAGAAGGGCAGGGAUGGGAAUAGAGAUCAGGUAGCCACAGUGGAGACCUUUCAUCCCCCAGGUAAUAUGGGGCUGUUUUCCUCAGCAGCUCUCCUGUGGACAGUCUGCAGUACCAAUUUUAGCAGGUGGGCAGACUACUGACGACUUCUGUUGUCUUUACCUCAUGCAAAGGUGCAAGGGUUCAGUCUAGUUUUCAGGUUAACAGAUCCCUAACCCCUCUGUGGCCCCUGGGACAAGGAUUCCUUCCAUACCAUGCAAGCAUCUCAGAUUGCCUGUAAGAUUUUAGCCCGGUACAGCACUAGCAAUACCAGUGGCUCUGAUGGCUAGAAUAUCUGAGUUAGAGAAAAUGACAGUUUUACUUAAGAAAAAGAUAUUCAAAUGUUUGACUUUUAUAAGUUCUGUUUACUCACCUAAUAAAAUUUUCUUAGAGACAAGAAAAUCUGAAAUUUUAGUGGACGACUUCAAAGUCCAUACUCAGUAAAACUCAAGUGCCAUUCCAGUACAGAUUUUAAAUAUGCAAUUGCAGAUACAAUCUGUCUCUGAUAAAAUAUUAUUGUGUGCUGGCAGAAGAGAUAGUAAUCAGCUCUUGAUUAAUAUUCAUUGUAUACAUAUAUGUAUUCAGGAAAUUAAAAGGUAUUUUCAGACAGUCAGAGAGCAUACAGCACAAAAGACAUUCCUAGAUAAAUUGAACAUGCAGUGGUCAAGGCAAUCUCUUGAAUUCAGAGUUGGUGAAAGGCCAGCCACUUCAUUUUUUCAUUCACCCCAGAGGAUUAAGAAAAACUGAGCUGAUAGAAUCUUGUGAUCCCACCCACUUUGGGUGCAUGUUUUCUAAUUAAAAUGGAAAUUUGAUCAAUUAUCAAAACGCGCUGGCUGAUAGAGAUGUGCCAUUCAUCUUCUGUGCAAUCCUACAUCUGCCUUGGAAGCAAGAGGAGUGUUUUCAGGUUCUGCAAUAAUUUAGACAUUAAAAAUACCAUGAUUAUUAUUAUAUUCACUUCUAAGGCAGUCAUCAUUUGUAUCUGAAAUGAGCCAAACCAAGCCACUGUCCUGUCCUCCACCAAGAUCACGCCAAAUUAGCUAACGCAUAAAUGUAUAGAGAGAAUUGCAUACAUGGGGACAGAGAUAUAUAUCUGACAUUAACAAAGAUAUCAGUAAGUAUCCUGACAUUUGCAAAGGCUAAUCAUUUCAUAGAACUAUUUGCAGAAUUAUGUACUUCUCUGUGAAGUCUCAAUGACCAUUAAAGAGAAUGGAAAAUUUUCUACAGUGCUUUCAUUAGGAAACAUGAAUCCACAUGAAUAAUGCUGAGUUGUGCAUAUUCCAAUUGGUUCUUCAUACACUCUGGGCACAUAACAAACCCCUUAUACAAACUUAUCAAAGCUGACUGAGUAAGGAGCACUGGGCAAAUUUAAAAAAAAAAAUACCAUUAAUGUAAGUAAGUGCUCGUGCUAGUUUGAUAAGCCACAGCUCUUCUGUCAUGUGCACUUCCCCAUAAUCUUGUUUGCCAAAGACCUGGACUUUCCCAGUGGGCAGUGAGUGGGCACUGGGGAGGACUUCAAGGUAUUCAGAUACAAAUAAGGAAGGCGAAGUCCAGAAAAUGGCUACUGCCGAAGCAAAGAGGAGAAAGUUCAAACCGUGAACUGAAGAAAAAUGCUUAUUGAAACACUUUCAACCAAAACAUAAAGUAACAGUUGUGGAGAACCCAGUAUCCACUAUUGCUCAAACUGAGAGAAUAAGAGCACAUGAGGUGGCCAGUUACAGUGCUGUGCUAUCCUAAUCCUUCUUGGACUGGUUAUAACGCCACAUAAAAAAACUCUCAGUGCUCAUAUACAUCAACAGCUCAAAUGGCAAAGGCCAGUCUUAAUGCACUAAGAAAGCAGAAUGGGGAAAGUCACUGAUAAUUUGCUGCCUUCUGUCACAGGAAUCCACUGGUUCCCACCAGUUAGGCCCUGGCAGCUCAGCAAACCAAAAAAGUCCACUGUCUGGAAAACUGAGGAGAGAGAGCUUGCAAUGAAACAAAUGGAUGCCUCAAAAGCUCCACAAAUACAGGACUCAAAGUGUAACAGCAAUUUUCUUCCUAUUGUACAUUGCCUAAGAAUUCCCUUCAAAGUGAAAAGUUUAUGGAAGAUGAAAAGAGAAACAUCAGAAGGCUUAAGUACAUAUUUCCUGUACUCUCUCUUACCUAUUUGUUUGUAGACUGUAGCUAAAAAAAAAAAAGUGCUGCUGCAAGGCAUGAGUAUGUGCAAAUCUCCAAGUCAAGACUGUACUACAGUGGGCCAAGAACUCUGCCAAAAGCAAUGAGAAUAAGAUUAUCUGGACUCAGAAAAAGCAGAACAGCCUGGCUUGCUGGUUUACAGUAAGGAGGCUGCAGUACAGGACAUUUUUUUACAUUUUGUUUAGCACAAUUCUCACUAUUACUUCUAUAGAGUUCAACUUUAGGAAGUCACUGCAAGUCUUAAAAGUCUUAGAAGUGGUUGUCCACAAAGGUAGGUUGCUGAAGCUUUUUUCUGUCGCCCUUGCUCAAAGUAUUUCUAAAAUUGAUAAAGGCCAUUUAAACACCUGGUGUGUUAGGUUAAUAACACCUAUUAGUGUUACACCUGGUAACACUAAUACUGCAUUUGCUCCCUAUGCAGGGCAUAGGUGUUCAGCAUUAGGGCACUAAAUCUGCCUAGGACCACCCUGCUUCAAAGGCUCUUAUAUUAUUUAAGGCGAAGAGAACAAGAAAAUGUGAGUGACCAGACUAGACACCCAUUUCAUUUUUUGUUCCAAAGACCAUGCUGAGAUUAUAACACUGCCUCCCAUUGUAAAAGCACAGUUAUUUGAGAUUGUUUCUGUUUCAUGUCUCUCUGUGGGUGAGCAAGAGAGCUAACAUAAUCUUGUUUGUUUGCAAAUUACAGUGAGUUUAUUCUAAUUUCAUAUACAGAUGUUUUCCAGAGUUUAACUUAUUUAGGCAUCAGUCUGUGUGAGCAGAGUAGGAAUGAAAGGAGGAGUCACCUCACUCUGCUCUUCCCCCCACACACACACGCAUGCACACACACCUUUUGUUAGUCCUUUGCCAUCAAUGAAUUCGGUGGGGAGGAAAAAUCUAGAUUGGCCAACAAGUUUGGGAGUUGAAUUAUGAAGGGUAAAUCCUGACUGUCUUGAUCUCAAACUAGGAGUAUAAGUAGCAUUUUAUAUUUUUAGCUAACUUGGAGGAAAGGAUUAUAUCAUUCCUCUGGCAAUAACUUGAGAAUUGUUUUUUAAAUAUCAAAUAUCAGUUUGAAUCUCCAGGACUAAUGGGAACAUGUCUGAAAGAAACCUUAAAUUAGAUUACAUUGUUUACUUUUUGAUAAUUCAAGAAUUAUUUUUCUGUCUGACACUGACCAAUAAAGAAAGAGUUAAAUAUAA